UUACGGUCGUAUCACGUUGAAACACCGGUUCUCCUGCGAUCACCGAAGUUAAGCAACGUCGAGCCUGGGCAGUGCCUAGAUGGGUGACUCUUUAGCAAUAUCG
rnacentral:rRNA from 1 species